GAUUGAUUACAUUUGUAAUAAGCUGGGAGCAUAGUGUCUUUGCUUCAGCUUGAGGGAGAGUAUUGAAAUAAUCAUUGUAGUUAUGCCUUGGAUUAGGAAAUUACACUAAAUUAGAAAAUCACCCUAUAAUUAGGAAGAUUUAUUUUAUGCCUCAAUAGUGCCUGUAAAUGUUUUCCUAUUUAGUUUUUCUGUACUUGGUAUUUAAUCCCCGAAGGCUUAAGGAAUAAUCAAGCUAAUUUUCAACAUUUUUUUUCUCUAUUUUUCUAAUUCUUCACUUUCAAUAAUGUAUUUCUUCAAAAACUAUCAAAGA
rnacentral:misc_RNA from 1 species